AUGUGGGCUUUGGUGAGUUUGUAGUUCUGC
rnacentral:piRNA from 1 species